CCUGGGAAGGGAAAAAAAUUUGUUGCAUACCGGCUACUCCUGUGCAGACCCGCUCCAGAUGGACGACGUGGGGAUCGGACGGCUAUCUCCGCUCGGCUCCAAUGCAGCGCGAUAUGGUGAGGAUGGAGGAGUCUCGCUCAUAGGUAUCGACUCAUUCGGCUCAGAUCCUCUUCUCUCAUCUUACCGGCGGCCGGCGCCACCUCCGCCGCAAACCCAAAGGCGUCGCCUCCCGACGUGUUCCCCUCCGCGGUCCCAUCCACCUCCUGCCUGAUCCCGCGCCGCCGUCUCGCUCGUUCGCCGCUGGGACGCGUUUAUGCGCGCAUCGGGGACGGGGAGGACUGCCAUGGUCUGGGACCUCGGCCUCGCGUGUAACACAGCACCUCGACCGACGACCAUCGAUCAAAUGGUGCCCGGCCUUGUCCUUCUUGUCGACCUGUAUCUGUAUCUGACCAACGGUGAAUUGGCAGAAUUGCUCAUAACAUUAUUCAGAGUUUGUUCAUAAUGCUUUAUUCAGAGUUGAGAGCUAGAUGAUUGUUCUGCAUGUUGCCUAGAUUACUACUCUACCACCAGCUGGCUUCAGAUGGUCAAAAUGUCAUUGAUUUUCACAAUGACAAAACACAAAAUGUUUACUAUUGCACAUGUCGAAAGUCACUGAUCUGUGAACUGUUCUUCACACAGGCAAAAGAGAAAGAGGAAAAAAAGCUCAAGGCAAAGGCAAAGGCAAAGGAGGCAGCUAGGCUCCAGGCACAAGCAGCUUCAGAUGGUCCUAAAAAAAGUGAGAAGAAGCAAAGGAAGAAAGCUGUUGAGGAUGAGAAUCCUGAGGAUUUCAUUGAUCCAGACACUCCUCAUGGGCAGAAGAAAUUUCUUGCAUCUCAAAUGGCCAAGCAGUAUAGCCCAGCUGCUGUUGAGAAAUCAUGGUAUGCCUGGUGGGAAUCGUCAGGAUAUUUUGGGGCAGAUCCUGUGGCUCAUACUUUGAAGUUUGCACUAGAUAUUACGUGAGUUUUGCCACCUCCAAAUGUCACCGGAGCACUUCAUAUAGGCCAUGCACUUACAGUGGCUAUAGAGGAUGCCAUUAUACGCUGGCGAAGGAUGUCAGGUUAUAAUGCUCUGUGGGUUCCAGGAGUCGACCAUGCCGGCAUUGCUACACAGGUUGUAGUGGAGAAGAAGCUUAUGCGUGAAAAGAAAUUGACGAGGCAUGACAUAGGGCGUGAAGAAUUGGUAUCUGAAGUUCUCAAAUGGAAAGAUGAAUAUGGGGGUACCAUAUUGAAUCAACUACGUAGGCUUGGGGCCUCACUUGAUUGGUCCCGCGAGUGUUUUACAAUGGAUAAACCAAGAUCGAAAGCUGUAACUGAAGCUUUUGUGAGGUUGUACAAACAAGGCCUGAUAUAUAGGGAUUAUCGCCUCGUGAAUUGGGACUGCACUCUUCGAACAGCAAUUUCUGACGUAGAGGUUGAUUAUCUAGAUAUUAAAGAAGAAACCAUGUUAAAGGUUCCUGGUUAUAAUACAACUGUACAAUUCGGCGUGUUGAUCUCUUUUGCAUAUCCACUUGAGGAAGGAUUGGGUGAGAUCAUUGUCGCAACAACAAGAAUCGAAACAAUGCUUGGUGAUACAACAAUUUCUGUUCACCCUGAGGAUAAUAGAUACAAGCAUCUGCAUGGUAGGUAUGCAAUUCAUCCCUUCAAUGGCCGAAAGCUCAAAAUAAUCUGCGAUGCUGAGUUAGUGGAUCCCACUUUCGGUACUGGGGCUGUCAAGAUUACACCUGCCCAUGAUCCAAAUGAUUUUGAGGUUGGAAAGCGACGCAGCCUUGAGUUCAUCAAUAUCUUCACAGAUGAUGGAAAAAUAAACAACUAUGGAGGUGCACAAUUUGAAGGAAUGCCAAGAUUCACUGCUCGAGUUGCUGUUAUUGAGGCACUGAAGGCAAAGGGCUUGUACAAGGAGACAAAAAAGAACGAAAUGUGUUUGGGUGUUUGUUCAAGAACUAACGACGUGGUGGAGCCUAUGAUAAAACCCCAAUGGUUUGUUAAUUGCAAUACCAUGGCAAAAGCAGGUAUUGAUGCUGUAAGGUCCAAAAGAAUUGAAAUUAUUCCACAACAGUAUGAGCAGGACUGGUAUAGAUGGCUUGCAAAUAUACGUGAUUGGUGUGUUUCAAGGCAGCUUUGGUGGGGACAUCGUGUGCCUGCUUGGUAUGUUGUACUAGAAGAUGAUCAAGAGAACAUUCUGGGUUCUGAUAAUGACCGUUGGGUUGUUGCUAGAAACGAAAGCGAAGCAAACCUGGAGGCACAUCAAAAGUAUCCUGGGAAGAAAUUCGAGUUACAUCAAGAUCCUGAUGUGUUGGACACAUGGUUUUCAUCUGGUCUUUUCCCAUUAACCGUACUUGGUUGGCCAGAUGAUACAGCUGAUGUUAAAGCUUUCUACCCUGGUUCAGUGCUGGAAACUGGACAUGAUAUUCUCUUCUUUUGGGUAGCGCGGAUGGUGAUGAUGGGGAUGCAACUUGGUGGUGAUGUGCCAUUUCAGAAGGUUUAUUUGCACCCUAUGAUCCGGGAUGCUCAUGGAUGCAAAAUGUCUAAGUCGCUUGGUAAUGUCAUUGAUCCCGUUGAUGUGAUAAAUGGUAUUCCACUGGAAGGUCUCCUCAAACGUUUGGAAGAAGGCAAUCUGGAUCCAAAUGAAUUGAACAUUGCAAGCGAUGGGAAGAAGAAAGAUUUUCCUGAUGGCAUUGCUGAAUGUGGUACUGAUGCCCUCCGUUUUGCACUGGUUUCUUACACUUCUCAGUCUGACAAGAUAAACCUGGAUAUCAAACGAGUUGUUGGAUAUCGGCAAUGGUGCAACAAAUUAUGGAACGCCAUUCGUUUUGCAAUGGGCAAGCUUGGCGAUCAUUACACUCCCCCUGCAACUAUUUCUGUAACUAUAAUGCCACCAAUAUGCAAAUGGAUAUUGUCAGUGCUUAACAAGGCUAUUGGCAAAUCUGUCACCUCGUUAGAAGCAUAUAAAUUUUCUGAUGCUACUUCUGCUAUAUAUUCAUGGUGGCAGUACCAACUGUGUGAUGUAUUUAUAGAAGCUAUAAAGCCUUACUUCUUCAAUGACUCUCAAGAGCUCGAAUCAGCAAGAGCUGCCUCUAGAGAUGCCUUAUGGGUUUGCUUAGAUACCGGCUUGCGCUUGCUCCACCCAUUCAUGCCUUGUGUAACUGAAGAGCUCUGGCAGCGUCUUCCUCAGCCUAAAGAUUCUUGUCAGAAAGAUUCCAUUAUGGUAUCAGAGUACCCAUCCCUUGUUAAGGAAUGGGCAGAUGAUAAACUUGAAAAUCAAAUAGAUAUUGCCUUGGAUACUGUCAACAAACUAAGAUCUCUGAAGCCACCAACUGAUACAAACGAGAGACGGCCUGCUUUUGCGCUUUGCCGAGGCCAAGAGAUUGCUGCCAUUGUUCAAUGUUAUCAGUCUCUAGUUGUGACUCUUUCUUCUAUAUCAUCUCUAAAGAUCCUGAUAGAGAGUGAUGAAACACCACCUGACUGUGCAACAGCUGUUGUGAACAAAGUUUAUCUGUAUACCUCCAACUCCAAGGAGCUCUCAAUGCAGAAGUUGAGCUUGAAAAGCUAAGGAAAAAGAGAGAAGAAAUUCAAAAGCUGCAACAUGCCCUAUCACAGAAAAUGGAAGCUUCCGGUUAUAAAGAGAAGGCUCCACAUAAUGUCCAGGAGGACAUGAGAAAACUGACCAGUUUUUUGGAACAACUAGAGAUUAUCAGUGAAGCUGAAAAGAAGCUAGAUGCAAAAACUGGCAAAAACUGAGUCAGAAAUCCCUGUUGUGAUUUUGAAGAUACCUUCUCUUUGUGGAAGUUUCAUCUAAAAUUUUGUACUGUUGCCUUAGUCAUAUACUAGAAUGAUCAGAUAGCCAGAUUUGUGAUUUUGCAGCUUGAAGAUAUAUCCACAGCAUUAUAGUUUUGGUUGUACGACAUUGCAUUUGAAAAUAUUCUUACCUACACAGCAUUAUAGUGAUAUUGAUUUUUCUUACCUA